UACAGAGAGGCCACCCG
rnacentral:misc_RNA from 1 species